UACGAGCCUGUGUGGAAUGCCCGAAGGCCUCGUCGAUGCCGGACAUGGGCGAAGCAGAAAAUUACCCGAGAGCCGCUGGUUAAUUAAAGGGGUCCGUCUCGACCGAGCUGGACGGGAAGAAACAAAACUGAGAGACACAAAACUGCUGAACAGAGUCUUUAAUUUCGGUGCCGUCGCAAGUUUAUUCAUCAUAGACCGUCAGACAUCUCCACAGUCGAAGAACAGGACACUCCAGUCAUCCCGCAGCUUUUCGAAACUGUUUUCCAAAUCCGUCUUUAAACCACACCACACAUUGGCCAAACUCUCUGUCCAGGACCGGAUUUAAAACAAACUUGAAGCUAUCGCAAGCUCAAAGAAAGAAGAUGAAAACCUUGGAACCUGGAAUAGAAACCUCAUGGAAACUGUUGCAAUUUUCAGAUCAGAACCGAAAUCUUUCAUGUGCCAUGAUUGUCUUUGGAGCGCUGUCAUUUUUCCUCCCACUUAAUA